GGUAUUUUUAAGGCCUGACUGGUGGCAUUGGUGCCCAUUGCUUUACUGUGCUGUUGGAUGUGUAUGUGGGCUAUCCCUUGUACCUGACAUUUGACUGGGCAUCACUGUGUUGCUAUGGUAUGAUCCUGGUAGUUGUUGUUAAUAAAACAAUAACAAAUUCAAAUUCAAACAUUGCUGCAUUCUUCUGUCACUGAGGAUUCCAAACCUGCACUCAGUCUCCUCAUUACUUUGGUACUGAACAGACAAACUUUGGAGCUCCUGCAAACUUUAUUCACAAACUGCAACUAUUUUACACAAAUCUGCGACUGACAACAAGCACAGAGACUUCAAACAAUCACUGAAAGAAACCAAAUCCUGCGUCUUUGCCUUGACAGACGCCUAAAAUGGCUCGAGCUGUGGCAAAGGAGAAGCUCCCACACUCAUCCAGUGGAGACUGUUGUGCUCUGGACAAUGAAGUUCCCGCUUUCAUGUUCAGACCUAUCAGCGCACCUGCAUGUGAGCUCCCAAGUCCUCCACCUGCUGAUGCCAGCUUUCAUUCAAAGGACACAAACAAGAUCAUUCACCCAGAUUUGAAAAAUGAUCGUUCAUCCCUGGAUGAUGAAGUGGCGUUUUUCAUGUGUCCUACUGAUGUUCCUCUGCCUCCGAGACCUCCACCCACUGCAGAGUUACGUCUCUGCAGAAAGCGCAGAUAUUCUGCUGCUUUUUCUGUUAAUGAUGAAGAGGAACAUUUGCUCAGCCUAAACGCAUGAGGCUGAUGAGUUGUGAUGUUCCAGUUUCUUCAGUUCCUCCACCUGCUGAUGCCAGCUUUCAUUCAAAGGACACAAACAAGAUCAUUCAUCCAGAUUUGAAAAAUGAUCGUUCAUCCCUGGAUGAUGAAGUGGCGUUUUUCAUGUGUCCUACUGAUGUUCCUCUGCCUCCGAGACCUCCACCCACUGCAGAGUUACGUCUCUGCAGAAAGCGCAGAUAUUCUGCUGUUUUUUCUGUAGGAUGAAGAGGAACAUUUGAUGCCUAAACGCAUGAGGCUGAUGAGUUCUGAUGUUCCAGUUUCUUCAGUUCCUCCACCUGCUGAUGCCAGCUUUCAGUCGAAGGACACAAACAAGAUCAUGCAUCCAGAUUUUAAAUAUGAUUGUUCAUCCCUGGAUGAUGAUUUGGCCUUUUUAAUGUGUCCUCUGCCUCUGACACCUCCACCCAUUGCAGAGUUAGGUCUGGGCAGAAAGCGCAGAUAUUCUGCUGUUUUUUCUGUGGAGGAUGAAGAGGAACAUUUGCCUCAGCCUAAACGCAUGAGGCUGAUGACUUGGGAUGUCUCUAAGUCUCCAGCUGCU